AUUGAACGCUGGCGGUAGGCCUAACACAUGCAAGUCGAGCGGCUGAAGGGAGCUUGCUCCUGGAUUCAGCGGCGGACGGGUGAGUAAUGCAUAGGAAUCUGCCUGGUAGUGGGGGAUAACGUCCGGAAACGGGCGCUAAUACCGCAUACGUCCUGAGGGAGAAAGUGGGGGAUCUUCGGACCUUACGCUAUCAGAUGAGCCUAGGUCGGAUUAGCUAGUUGGUGGGGUAAAGGCCUACCAAGGCGACGAUCCGUAACUGGUCUGAGAGGAUGAUCAGUCACACUGGAACUGAGACACGGUCCAGACUCCUACGGGAGGCAGCAGUGGGGAAUAUUGGACAAUGGGCGAAAGCCUGAUCCAGCCAUGCCGCGUGUGUGAAGAAGGUCUUCGGAUUGUAAAGCACUUUAAGUUGGGAGGAAGGGCAGUAAGUUAAUACCUUGCUGUUUUGACGUUACCAACAGAAUAAGCACCGGCUAACUUCGUG
rnacentral:rRNA from 1 species